rnacentral:tRNA from 1 species
GGGGCCCAGGUGGGGCCUCCUUCCUGAGCAGCCACCCCAGUUCCUGUUUCAGAUCCAAGCACAGGCGCCAGCUUCCCCUUCGGUUGCUCCACUGGGCACCCACACUGCGCCUCUGGCCACAACGCUCCCGCUGCCCCUGGACUGUGGCCUGACCACCACAUCCGGGUCCGGUCUGAUGCCAGCCACCUGAUCGUCCAUGCUGUCAGCCCCAGGCCGGUGGGAGAGAGAGCUGUGGGCAGGGACAUUUCAGUAAGUAACCUUGAGUAAUACCCUCAAAUCAGCCUCAGCUGGAACCACGUGGGUGGGGGCUCCUCUUUCUUUUACUCAGUAAUUCAAACAGCACUCUUGGACUUGUAGGCACCUAGUGUGUCCACAGCUCGCCUCCUGGCUCCACUCCUGGCUGGACUGGUGACUGAACCCAGGGGAGCUUUACCCCUGAGCUCCAUCCUCAGACAACUCUAUUUUUUGAGACAGGGUGUUACGUUGCUGAGGCUCUCACCGACUUGCUGAGGCUGCUCUUGAACUUGGGAUACUCCUGCUUGAGCCUCCCAAGUUGCUGGGAUCACAGUCGCCACCACACCUGGCUCCUUCUUCAUUCAUAUGCACAUUAAGUAGUUAUUUAUGGUGCUGGGGCUGCUAAGCCAGUGCCCUGUCACAGACCUCUGCUCCUGCUGCACUAGGCAUUUAUGGACACUGAAGAGGCUCGGUGCUGGGGGCUAGGCAGGCGUCUGUGUAGGAAAUGCACCCGGCCCCUGCUCUCCCCUUUGGUGGGUCUGAACACUACAGGGAAACUAGGCAGAGACAGGGAUGCGGAGUACAAGACAUAUUUAGAGGGGCUGCAGAUUUUGAUCAAGUGCUCAGGCAAAGUCUCCUGAUGAGAUGAUGUUGGAAUAAAGACUCGUAGAAGAUGAGUGGACCACGGGAGUGGGUGAGGAAAGACUGAGAAGGAGCAACCGUCAUUCAAAAGUCAUGAGCCAACACAUGAGCGUGGGGGUGCACACCUGCAAUCCCAGCCACUCAGGAGGCUGAGGCAGGAGGAGGGCAAGUUUGAGGCCAGCCCUAGCAAAACCCUGUCUCAAAAUUAGAAAUAAAAAAGAGCUGGGGACAUAGAGCAGGGAGCAGGGAGCUAACCAGGUCAGUUUCACUUCAGAGUCCUCAAGACUCAGUUGGGCAGGAGAGCACUUGUCUAGCAUACGCAGGACCCUGGAUUCAAUCCCCCAAAAGUAUCAGAAAUAAUAAUAACAAUAACAGCAACAAUAUCAUCAUUCAUGCAUAAUAACAUCAUUCACAUAGUAGCUACUUUUAAAAGAAGAUCAUGCCAGGGCUGGGGUGCAGUGAGGCCCUAAGUUUGGUCCCCAGCACCACCAGAAAGAAAAGAUCAUGCCACGGUGGAAUGUUCUCCAAGAUGAACUGUUACCAACAAACCAAUGAGCGAAAGGUGCAGAAAUAUUCAUAUUUACCUGGGUUAAAACCCACGUGACAUUUUAUAACCAUUGUUGUCAAGAUUGUUUCAGGCAAAAACCGCCCCUGAGAGCUAAAACUAAGGGGGAAAUUCGAUGAGAACAAAAUAUCUAAAUGGCCCUCACAGCCCGGCCACCCACACCCCAAGGGUCACUUUUCAGUCUCGGGGAGACCACAUCCUCGGGGGCACUUUAGAACCACAUCACCAGUGAGAGGCAUCUGGCCUUGUCAGGGAAGGGUGGCACAGGCAAAGGGUGGUCCCAGAAGGGGAGGUGUUCACACGAUGGUGGGAUUCUCGGAGUGUGUCCCCGUCAGGACACAGGCGUGACUGAGUUGCUUGAAGGUGGAUUUCCUGAAUUUGGCAACAGUGCUGUGGCUGCAGACCACGGCCUCCUGAGCUCCGAGGACACGUGUUGAAAUAUUGAGGAGGAGACGGGGCAGGGCCCCUCUGGUCUCUCCUAAAUGGUUUGAGAACAAAUGUCAUUGGUGGUCAGUGUGUUAACGACAUGAAGGAAGGGAAACAGACACAAAAUACUGAAGACCGGGGGUUCAGGGAAGAGGGCACUCUGGAAUUCUCUGAAUUAUUUUUGUAACAUUUCUGUAAUUGGAAAGGAUUUUGAAACCUGUACUUAUUUAUGGUUGCAUCUGCGAGAGGAAGUAGCGGAUCAAGGAACCAGGGGAAAAGGGUGUCUCUCCCACCCACCCCUCUUUUUUUUUAAGUAUUUUUUUAGUUGUAGAUGGACACGAUAUCUUUAUUUAUUUAUUUUUCUGUGGUGCUGAGGAUCGGACCCAGUGCCUCAUGCAUGCGAGGCAUGUGCUCUGCCACUGAGCCCCAGCCCCAGCCCCCUCCCUUUUUUCUUGUUGUACUGGGGAUGGAACCCAGGGUUUGGCACAUGGUAGGCAAGUGCUCCACCACCAAGCUACCCUCCUAUCCCUUUUAGUUUAAUUUUAUUUUGAGACAGGGUCUUGUUAAGUGUCUAGUUUGGCCUCAAACUUGCGAUCCUCCUCUGUCAGUCUCCCAAGUAGCUGAGAUUACAGGUAUGAGCCACCAUGCCUGGCAAGUGUGUAUAUUUUUCUUUUUUUUUUUAGUUUUCAGUGGACACAACAUCUUUGUUGGUAUGUGGUGCUGAGGAUCAAACCCGGGCCGCACGCAUGCCAGGCGAGCGCGCUACCGCUUGAGCCACAUCCCCAGCCCAAUAUUUUUCUGUUAUUAAUGUUUUAUUAUUAUUAUUGUACUGGGGAUUGAAACCACGAGUAUUCCCAUGUGUUUCAGACCCAGCCCUUCUUUUUUUUAAUAUUUAUUUAUUUUUUUAGUUAUCGGCAGACACAACAUCUUUGUUGGUAUGUGGUGCUGAGGAUCGAACCCGGGCCGCAUGCAUGCCAGAUGAGCGCGCUACCACUUGAGCCACAUCCCCAGCCCCUUAUUUUUAAUUUUGAGACAGGGUCUCACUAAGUUGCUGAGACUGGUCUCCAACUUGGAAUCCUCCUGCCUCAGCCUCCUGAGUCUCUGGGGUUAUAGGCAUUUGUCCCCACACCCAGAAGGAGACUCAUUUUCUACCCUUUUGUUCUGUUUGAAAGCAGCACCUCAUCAAACAGAGAAGUAGAAAAUGGAAAAGAAAUGUAUUAGACACAAAUUCUAGGCACUUUGCUAAGCUAGUGAUUAGCCUGACUUGAUCUUACUUAGUCCUCUCAAUUCGGCCCUUUGCACAGAGAGGGAAACUGAGGCUCAGAGCAGGGAGGUGACUCACCUAGCGCAGAACUAACCAGGUCGGUUUCACUUCAGAGUCCUCAAGACUCAGUUGGGCAGGAGAGGAAUUUGUAAAACUCUUCAUUGCCUAAAGAAAACAAAAAUAAUGAAACAAAACAAAAAACCUGAGUGUCUGCCUUUUCAGCUUUGUGGGUGUGGGUGUCUGAGGUAGGAAAUAAGCAGGGUGUAGCUUAUAGCCAGGCAUGUAACAAACACUUCUUAGAAAUCUUCACUUCUGGGUAUCGUGAUGACAUCUGGGAUCCCAGUGACUCUGAGGAUCACAAGUUCAAGGUCAUCCUGGUCAACCUAGCAAGACCCUGUCUCAAAAUAAAAAGGGCUGGGGGUGUAGCUCUGUGGUAGAACGCCCUGGGUUCCAUCCUCCGUCACACACACACACACACACACACACACGCACAUAGAAUCUUUAUUGGUCCAGGGGCAGCUAUGCCGGGACUUCUCAGCACUGGGAGGUGCAGGGAGCUCCUGAGUGCCCCGGGGGGCACGUCUGGUAAACUGCCUGAAGAGGGCUCAGAGGACAGGAUCCUGACUCUUCCAGCCUCCAGUUACUUGAGAUGAGUGAUUUGCAGAUGUACCGUCUCCCUGGCUUUCACACUGGUCCUCUUGAGUUCUGUCUCUAGAGUUGCCUGCACUUCUGAACCUGCAAGCCCUGGUCCCCUCUGCAGGGCCAGGACUUCUCUCAGGUGCCCUGAGUUAAAGAGGGCACUUGAGGGGGCCCAGCAGGUCCAGCACAGUGGCUUGUGCCCCAGUGGGGAAGCAGAGGUCAUGUGGGCUCUGACCCUGUCACCCGGGAAGUCCCAGAGCCACCUUCUCCCCUUUCCUCAUAGGCGUCUCCCGAACUCCGAUUUGGCCGACAAUGGAUACCUUGAUUCCCUGCUGACCCCAAAGCCACGUGGUACCUUCCCUGGCACUGAGGAGCGGGGGUGAGAACGGCAGCCGAUGCCACCCGUGCUGGGUACCAUCCAAGGCCUCUUCCUGAAGUCAGACCCCUGAAGCUCAGAGGGUGACCCUACAGGGAGGUCCCACCUUUGUCCAGAUGAAGCCACUGAGGCAAGAGAGGUUAAGCACUCUGCCAAGGUCACAUCGCCACAUGCAGAAGAAGCGUGGAGCCCGAGGUCCCCCCACCUGCUGGGCAGCAGCGGCUCCCACCUGCCUGGAGUCCCAGCUCUCCUUCGGGGAACCCUGCCGUGGCUGACCAUGUGCGUGGGUGGAGCCAACCACCAACCUGGCUCCACUCUUUUUUUUUUUUUUUAAAGAAUUUUUUUUUAAUAUUUAUUUUUUAGCUUUCGGCGGACACAACAUCUUUGUUUGUAUGUGGUGCUGAGGAUCGAACCCGGGCCUCACGCAUGCCAGGCGAGCGCGCUACCGCUUGAGCCACAUCCCCAGCCCCCUGGCUCCACUCUUGAUGACAUCACCAGCCCUGGCCCACCGAAGCAGCAAAUUGUCCUGGCCAUGGUGACUAAUUCAAAGGUGAUCCCAGCUGUAUCUUUGUGAAGCUGCCUUGAGACCUUUAUUGGAAUCAAUAAGGAGAAAGGUAGUUUCCCAGAGUGGCCAGAAGAGCAAGAGUCCCCUAGAUGAGAGCUGCCAAGUCUAACCUUGUCAUCGGCUUGAAAAGGAACGCAGCACAGGGCGAAUCUGAGGAGCAACAAAGGACCAGUGACGUUAUUUAAGCUCCUGGAUCAAGCUGUGCCUGAAAUACCCCUGGACUUUUCAACUACAUGAACUAAUACAUCCUGCUCCCUGCCUUGCAUUUUUUGGCUCAGGCUAGUUGAACACUAAUAGGAACAGGAGUUCAAGCACGAGUUGUGGUGAAGGUCAUGGCCACAGCCCACCCCCUGAUUAUUAUUUGUUAACUCUUGUUGUGUAACAGCUUUAUGGAGAUAUAAUUCCUGUUGGUAAAGAAGGCGCCCAGACUGCUUCUCUUCCAGGAGCUCAGGUCCAUGAUGCACUGAAUGGCGCACGAACCGUCACCUCCAAUCCCUGUGAAUGGCGCGAACUUUGAAUGGCGCACCUCCAAUCCCUGAAGUGGCUCAACUCUCACCAAUGAAGAAGUAACAGCUCACUCGCCUUGCUCCUCCUCAUCCUGUGUUAAGCCCAUAAGUAUCAAUAACUUGUUCGUGUUCGUUCUCUUACUCUCUCUCCUCCCCUCCCUCUCCUCCCUCUUCCUCUUUCCCUCCCCCUCUCCCCCCUCCCCCCU